rnacentral:rRNA from 1 species
AGAGUUUGAUCAUGGCUCAGAUUGAACGCUGGCGGCAGGCCUAACACAUGCAAGUCGAGCGGUAGCACAGAAGAGCUUGCUCUUCGGGUGACGAGCGGCGGACGGGUGAGUAAUGUCUGGGAAACUGCCUGAUGGAGGGGGAUAACUACUGGAAACGGUAGCUAAUACCGCAUAACGUCUUCGGACCAAAGAGGGGGACCUUCGGGCCUCUUGCCAUCGGAUGUGCCCAGAUGGGAUUAGCUAGUAGGUGAGGUAAUGGCUCACCUAGGCGACGAUCCCUAGCUGGUCUGAGAGGAUGACCAGCCACACUGGAACUGAGACACGGUCCAGACUCCUACGGGAGGCAGCAGUGGGGAAUAUUGCACAAUGGGCGCAAGCCUGAUGCAGCCAUGCCGCGUGUGUGAAGAAGGCCUUCGGGUUGUAAAGCACUUUCAGCGGGGAGGAAGGCGAUAAGGUUAAUAACCUUGUCGAUUGACGUUACCCGCAGAAGAAGCACCGGCUAACUCCGUGCCAGCAGCCGCGGUAAUACGGAGGGUGCAAGCGUUAAUCGGAAUGACUGGGCGUAAAGCGCACGCAGGCGGUCUGUUAAGUUGGAUGUGAAAUCCCCGGGCUUAACCUGGGAACUGCAUUUCAAACUGACAGGCUAGAGUCUUGUGUAAGGGGGUAGAAUUCCAGGUGUAGCGGUGAAAUGCGUAGAGAUCUGGAGGAAUACCGGUGGCGAAGGCGGCCCCCUGGACAAAGACUGACGCUCAGGUGCGAAAGCGUGGGGAGCAAACAGGAUUAGAUACCCUGGUAGUCCACGCUGUAAACGAUGUCGACUUGGAGGUUGUGCCCUUGAGGCGUGGCUUCCGGAGCUAACGCGUUAAGUCGACCGCCUGGGGAGUACGGCCGCAAGGUUAAAACUCAAAUGAAUUGACGGGGGCCCGCACAAGCGGUGGAGCAUGUGGUUUAAUUCGAUGCAACGCGAAGAACCUUACCUACUCUUGACAUCCACAGAAUUUGGUAGAGAUACCUUAGUGCCUUCGGGAACUGUGAGACAGGUGCUGCAUGGCUGUCGUCAGCUCGUGUUGUGAAAUGUUGGGUUAAGUCCCGCAACGAGCGCAACCCUUAUCCUUUGUUGCCAGCGAGUAAUGUCGGGAACUCAAAGGAGACUGCCGGUGAUAAACCGGAGGAAGGUGGGGAUGACGUCAAGUCAUCAUGGCCCUUACGAGUAGGGCUACACACGUGCUACAAUGGCGUAUACAAAGAGAAGCGAUCUCGCGAGAGCAAGCGGACCUCAUAAAGUACGUCGUAGUCCGGAUUGGAGUCUGCAACUCGACUCCAUGAAGUCGGAAUCGCUAGUAAUCGUAGAUCAGAAUGCUACGGUGAAUACGUUCCCGGGCCUUGUACACACCGCCCGUCACACCAUGGGAGUGGGUUGCAAAAGAAGUAGGUAGCUUAACCUUCGGGAGGGCGCUUACCACUUUGUGAUUCAUGACUGGGGUGAAGUCGUAACAAGGUAACCGUAGGGGAACCUGCGGUUGGAUCACCU